UUGGAAACAAAAUAAAAAGAAACUUAGUUUCUUUCCUCUUCACGCAGCAAGCAAUCUGAUCCUUCCUUCAUAUUUUCUUUUUCUUCUUCCUCUUGCCGCAGCAACCCACAACACGCACACCAUGCCUUCUCAUGCUUCUCAUCACCAAGCUUCUUUUCUCUUCUCCUUCCUCACACCCAAACAUGGCAGCCACACCACCACCGUCCUUGCUCUCCCCAUGGCUGAGCACGUAAGCUGCCACCAUGAAGCCACCUUGUUUCUCUACUACGUGAACCACCACCAUGAGCCCAAGAGCCAAGAGCUCCUCUCCUAUGGCUGCACCACCGCAGGUCCAGCAACCACCACCACCCUCCUUUCCUCAUGAGACAAGCCACCCCACUACUCAGCCUUCCUCAACGUGCCACACCACCAAGACCAGCAACUGCCGCUCCUCUUUUUCCUUGGCCGCGAGCAAGCCACCACCGUGGGUACUCCUUCGUCCUCCUUUUUCGGCGAGGAAAAGCCACCAAUCAAUGAGCUCAACAUCACCACACCACCACCGCAUCACAGCUUGAAGCCGCCACAGCCACCAUGAACAAAACAGAGCAAGAAAAACGUGAAAACAGAGGAGUACGACGCCACCGACGUCGUCGACGCUGUCAACUUCGACCUUUGAUUCCGGUGUCCCCGGGCCUCCGUUCACAGGUUAGUACCGUUGGAACCCUUGCGACGUCCACAACAAAACCCAUGUUCCGGAUCGUCGUUUCGUCGCCGCCGACCGCCGCCGCUGCCGCCUUCGGGAGCUUUUUCCGGUCAACUCCGACGACCAAUGGAAAAACGGAGUGUACUGCGGCGAUCCUUGUCGCGAGGAGAGUAAAUCCCUAUUUUCUAUUUCAUAUUUCGGUCAUUUUAUUCGACGACCACCGUCGACCAUCGGCUGAACUUUCUGGGCAAACCGUCGACUCUUUGGGGAAACGGACAACGCCGUUGAAUUCCUUUCCGCGAAAGGAUGAAGGAACAACCUUCCUUUGUGUCUCCGGCGACAAUCCCUCCGUCAACCCCGUGAGCCGCAACUUUCUCUGGCGACACUUUGCCGACAAGUUUCUAAAACUUGAUUUUCGGUACGAAUAACGGAGACGCUUGGCGACGAAGCCAAAGGACAAAAGGAAGCGAGCUAACACGGGAAAGCAAAGAUGUGAAUGGAUUGGAGUCGCAGCUUUGUAAGGGAAUUGGCUAAGGUAAGGGCAACUUACACUGCUAGCUAAUGCUUUAGGCGUCGAUAAUUUCGACUUGCUUAUUUAUGUUUCUUUAUCGCUUUGACUGGAGAAAAUAUUUUGAGGCUUUGGCCGUGUGAAACUAAUAUGAAGCGUGUGUCUCCUUUUUCUGAGAGGCUUCGGUCGUUUACUGGUUUCUGUCUUAUGAUUUCCGCACAUAAUUAUUGUCGUAUUGCUUCUUAUAGCUUGAGAUAUUGAUAUUGUUGUCGAAUCGUGCGCUUUGACGCAAUUGUGGAGUGUAGGACAUUUGAUUUGAUUCUCUUUGAUCAUUCGGGUUGAAAGAAUAACCCUAGGCAGGUCCUGACUUGAGGUCUGAGAUCUAGCUCUCUUUGAAAUACUUAGACUUUUCCCGGGGAUUAUAUUUGGGGGAUUUGGGAAACUUUGAAUAGUUAGAAUUUGAAACUUGAGAACUUAUGGAACUUGGAUUUCGAUAAUAAACCUCAUAACUUGAUUAACUCAACUUGAAAUGCUUUGAUUAAUUAACGAGACCUUUAGGGAUACUUAAGAGUUGGAAAUGAUUGUGAAAAACGGGAAAUAGUCGAAAAGCCUUGAACCUGAGAUGACUUGAUGGUCGCCACGGGGGUGAACCAGAGUGACUAGGGAAAUGUCACUGAGUGCAAUAUGUACUCCGGCUUAUCACAGCCUAGUCGUAAAGACGACUUUGACCUUCGGGUACUUUUAAAUUGAGAUUUGUAGUUAAACACGUACGAGCGAGGACGAUUCGAUGUUUAGCUAACCGUAUUGCAUCAUGCAUACGUUCGGGGUUUUGGGACGGUCGAAAGACUGGGCCUUCACGAAGAACACCAAGAGUGUAUCUUCGACAUUGUGGCGCGAAUCCGUAUGUCCAAACCCGACGGGUUGGGCCGAUUCGGUAAUAAUUGUUGACACGCGCGGAUCCGUAUAUUCAAUCCGAUGGAUUGGAUCGAUUCGGCGAUAGUCACUCAGGCACGCGUGAGUCCGUAUGUUCAAUCCAAGGGAUUGGAUCGAUUCAGCGAUUGCCAUUUUAACUCGCGUGAAUCCGUAUGUUCAAUCCGAGGGAUUGGAUCGAUUCAGCGAUAACUCUUCGACUCGCGCGGAUCCGUAUGUUCAAUCCGAUGGAUUGGAUCGAUUCGGCGAUAGUCAUUGGACACUCGCAACGUCCGUAUGUUCGACUCUUUUGAGUGAACCGACUUGGCGUUGUCAUUUGUUGCGUGUGCGAGUCCGUAUGUUCAACCUGAUGGGUUGGAUCGACUUGACAUGCCUAAUUGUGGGAGUUGCGUGUGCGAGUCCGUAUGUUCAAUGUAAGACACGGAUUUUCAGAACAAGUUAAUUUCCGACUCACGCGUGGAAUCAGUGUAAGCGUGACAGGAGCUUGAUAUUUGAGAAAGAUUAAUGAAGAAGAAAGUUCAGGAAUUGCUCGAGGAAUGUUGCGUUGUUGCUUUCGGAGCUAGUGCGAGUCGUCUGCACACCUGCCUUAUGGCGAGCGUGUCCAGAAUAGGCUAAUUUCGCUUUUAAAGCAAUGUUUAGGCGAUAUUUCGAAUUCUUGGAAAAUUUAAAGAUUCUCUUUAUUUUUCCUUCGACCAUCGUUUCAUUUCGGAACUCUGGACUGUACGCACGAUAGUAUUUACUUUUCGGAAGUUCGCCGACGCUAAUUUCUUUGCUUCAAAACCCUAUUUUCGAGCAAUGGAUGAAGACUUUUUCUAUUCGGGACUUCUAACGAAGUUUCCGUCCGCGUUGCCAGAUUUUUUUCGACGUUUCCAAUCUUUCUUCAGUAGGAAGUUUUGUCGUUUGAGCAUCACAGCAAAAAGUAGUUUUUCGGGACAGACUAACUUACACCGCUUUUGGCGUUUUGGAUAUCGUUUUUCCCAAAUCCUAGAUAUUUGUUUUGAGUUCUGGAAUUCUGACGCCAGAAUCUCUCUUAGAAUUCCUCGGUGAUCGUGCUGCAAAAAUCAGAAUCGCGAAAUUUUCAUUUUCCCGCGAUUUCGCCUGCCUAUAAAUAACUCAAAAAGCAAAAAUUCCUUCAUUUUCUUCCUAUUGUGGCCGAAUUUCGUGGAGAGCAAGGGGGGAGGAGAUUUUCGCGAAAACUUGACUGAUCUUCGCGCAGUUCGUCCCUACUUCUAGGUAUCGAGGUAACUAAUACGAUUCCUACCUCUGAUUGUUGUUUCUGUUGCGUUUCUGAAGUCGUUUCUGUGCUCACAGUUUUGAGCUUUUUCUAAAAUUGUCCGUUUUCUUCGAUUUCUUGCUUGGGUUAUGUUCUCUAGGUUCCCAUGAGCCUAAAACCUCUGUCAGUAAACUCUGAUUGUGAUCCAGUUGACAGGGAUCUGAAAAACUGUUUCAAAACCUUUUUGUCUCACAUUUCGAAACUUUAUUGUCGAAAAGUCAUAAUCUGACUUCGUGCCUUUAGGAUUUGUUGUCACGAAUGUCAUGAGGAUCGUUGCUGUCAAAUUUGUUUUCAGAACUGAUAACUUUGAAGUUUUGAGCCUUUAUUUUGGACCAAAAUGCCCCUGGAUAGUCAUAUUUCGACCCGAUUGUCCGAAAAUUGUUCCGACAGUUUCUUUGCCUUAGUUUUAUCCUAAAACUACCUUGUGAAUUGAUUUGAUCAAAGAAAAAGAGCCGAAACCCUUUUUCCUUUGAGGCCGUGGACUAUUUCCUUUAGGGGGAGUUUUUCGGUUUCGAAAACUUGUCUUUUCGUACCUGAUUGUCCUAUUCUGAAGCUUUAAUGCUUUGUCUAUCGUUUAUGUAUUGUUUUGCGAUCGAACUAAUCGAUUUUGUUUGGAUUCUGCUUUGUUUUUCUCCGAGGUUCAGUUGAAGGAACUUUGGAAUACUCAGAGCAAUUGUUUGAGGAGAACUUUGUUUGCGAAGCUGGAACAGCUCGAGAUGUCGAUGGCCGACUGGUUCUCGGUGGUCUCUCCCUCGGGGGGGGAUCAGAUAUGAGCUGCAGGAUCGGGAUGCCCCACCGCUUGGGUGAUCGAUGUUGCUGGUCACCGGGCGACGUAUCGGGGAAGGGUCGUGGAGGACCGGACUGACGAGCGUGGACGUCUGACGAAAGGAGUUCUAUGGCGCAUGGAGUUGAGCUUCAACUUGCCGACUUCAGAUCGUUGUGGGUUUGACACUGGGAGGUUAGGUUUGGGCAGGCGUCAUGUUUUGUGUAGAGCUCUGAUUCGUUUUGCUUUUGGGAUCGGGUAGGUUUCCGACGCAUGACUUUUCGUGUGGUUCUCUUACUGAGGGAUCACAGUGAGUCAGUUGGACCAUAGGGGUCUUUGCUUAGGCCAUAUUGAGGCCGACUUUCUCCUAGUGGUUUGUAAUUAUAAUUUUCUCACUUACACUUCUGGGUCUGUAUAUAUUUGCCUACGGGCACACUGCUUUGGAGUCACUGCGAGUGCGCGUGACAUGGAGUGCAGCUGAGGCUGUACAUGUAUAUAUGUUGUAUAUCGAUUAGUUUAGUAGUUGGGUUUUGUCUUUA